UACUUGGAUAACCGUGGUAAUUCUAGAGCUAAUACAUGCUAAAACCCCGACUUCGGGAGGGGUGUAUUUAUUAGAUAAAAAACCAAUGCCCUUCGGGGCUCUUUGGUGAUUCAUGAUAACUUAACGGAUCGCAUGGCCUUGCGCCGGCGACGGUUCAUUCAAAUUUCUGCCCUAUCAACUUUCGAUGGUAAGGUAUUGGCUUACCAUGGUUUCAACGGGUAACGGGGAAUUAGGGUUCGAUUCCGGAGAGGGAGCCUGAGAAACGGCUACCACAUCCAAGGAAGGCAGCAGGCGCGCAAAUUACCCAAUCCCGACUCGGGGAGGUAGUGACAAUAAAUACUGAUACAGGGCUCUUUUGGGUCUUGUAAUCGGAAUGAGUACAAUUUAAACCCCUUAACGAGGAACAAUUGGAGGGCAAGUCUGGUGCCAGCAGCCGCGGUAAUUCCAGCUCCAAUAGCGUAUAUUAAAGUUGUUGCAGUUAAAAAGCUCGUAGUUGAACCUUGGGCCUGGCUGGCCGGUCCGCCUCACCGCGUGUACUGGUCCGGCCGGGCCUUUCCUUCUGGAGAGCCGCAUGCCCUUCACUGGGUGUGUUGGGGAACCAGGACUUUUACUUUGAAAAAAUUAGAGUGUUCAAAGCAGGCCUUUGCUCGAAUACGUUAGCAUGGAAUAAUAGAAUAGGACGUGCGGUCCUAUUUUGUUGGUUUCUAGGACCGCCGUAAUGAUUAAUAGGGAUAGUCGGGGGCAUCAGUAUUCAAUUGUCAGAGGUGAAAUUCUUGGAUUUAUUGAAGACUAACUACUGCGAAAGCAUUUGCCAAGGAUGUUUUCAUUAAUCAGUGAACGAAAGUUAGGGGAUCGAAGACGAUCAGAUACCGUCGUAGUCUUAACCGUAAACUAUGCCGACUAGGGAUCGGGCGAUGUUUCUAUCUUGACUCGCUCGGCACCUUACGAGAAAUCAAAGUUUUUGGGUCUGGGGG
rnacentral:rRNA from 1 species